GUGUUCGCUUCGGCAGCACAUACACUAAAUUGGAACAGUACAGAGAGGAAUAGCAUGGCCCCUGCCACGAGGAUGACACGCAAAUUCCUGAAGCGAUCCAUAAUUUA